AGUCUGAUAGCACAACUGGUUAGUGCCUCUGCAUUAAUUGGGCCAUUGUUCGAUAGGAAUUGUCUGCAGAAGAUCCCUGUUCGAUCCGGGGUCAGGCCA